GCUCAGACCAUUUUUAUCAUCAGUGCCUGCAAACUUCCUUUCCAUUCUCAGUUCCAGGACCUUCAGCUGUGAGACCUACCAAGUUGUGGUACAAGCAUUUAGCUCACAAGAACCGGCCAUGCAAGAUAAGCAAAAAUUGUCCGUCAUCAGUAAUUUCAUCAAGCCCUUCCUCAAAGGUCAGUCCUGUGUGCUGCCCGGGAGCAACGACUCAGACUGGCUGGUGAAGAAUUUUGGCCAAUUCAGGAGUUCUGCUUCAUUUUCUGACUUCAUCAGCCUGAAGAGUGACUUCAAUGGAGUAAAUGCAGCAGAGGUUCUAACUUCAUCCCAGUUGGCAGAACUUUGCUC